rnacentral:rRNA from 1 species
CACGUAGGGCGCGAGCGUUGUCCGGAAUUAUUGGACGUAAAGAGCUCGUAGGCGGCCUGUUGCGUCCGCUGUGAAAGCCCGGGGCUUAACCCCGGGUCUGCAGUGGAUACGGGCAGGCUAGAGGUAGGUAGGGGAGAAUGGAAUUCCCGGUGUAGCGGUGAAAUGCGCAGAUAUCGGGAGGAACACCGGUGGCGAAGGCGGUUCUCUGGGCCUUACCUGACGCUGAGGAGCGAAAGCGUGGGGAGCGAACAGG